rnacentral:lncRNA from 1 species
ACAACACUUAAGAACCAGUUUAUCACGGUCAGAUUCACAUCAGAGCAACAUUAAGAUUCAUCAAACUCAAAUCACAAUUUAAGCUUAAAACUCAAUUGAAGACCAAUGACUCAGAACAAAAUCAUAUUGAAUCAGAACAAAAUCAUAUUGAACUUAACAAGGUCAUAUUUCCAACCAUGAUUUGACACAGAUAAAAGGCAUGAACUAACACAAUUCUAACUUGAACAAACAUGAAUGAACACUAACAAGAUACUUAACAGACUGACCUCAUAUGCAAACAAUAAUAGGAAACACAAAGAAAUUAAGAACCGGUCCAAGCAAUGACAUCUGCUUCAAUUUCCGCAGUCUGAUUAUUCAUGUAAAUGACAAACACCCUUUUGUGAGGCACCGAAAAAUGACAUGGACUGCCCGAAAAAUCAAAUUCGGUCGAAUCUGCCAAAGUUCAAACAACAAACAUCACCCUCUUUUUUAUUUAUUUAUGGAUUUAUAAUUUGCAUAUAAUAGUACAUAAAUAAAAAAAAUAAAAAGUAAAUACAAAGGGUGAAGGAGGAUAAGAAAAGGGCAGCGACAACGAGCUACAUGGUUUCAGCGACGAGUCUGGCGGCGGUUCGUUUGAGGUCAUUGCUGGAUGGUCGGAGACGAGCUACUGCUGAGCGGAAGUCGUUUGGAUGCGAAAGAGAUGGAGUUAUGGCAGACUGUGGUCGGAGGUGGUCGUUGUACGGCUGGAGUCGCGACAGGGAUAGGUGAUCAAAGACGGAGAAGUAGGUGGUCGUGACAGUGGUCGACCGUUGUUGACGGACUGGAGGAAGCGCUGGACAAAGUAGCUAUGGUGGUUCGACGUGAGGUUGAGCUCGUUUGGGAGGGUUGACGACGAGAAGAUGGCUGUAGUGGUUUAGGGGGUAGUUUUAAGAUAGGGUUUUGAGUGGUUUCUUGUUAAAGAAGGAGGGCACUCAUGGAUGUCGUGAAGGUGGAGAAGAGGAAGAAGAUGAAGGUUUUCCAAAUGUGUCUCCAAAAAAUGAGAGAAAAUGGUUGAUUCCUAACUUAGCUCCUAGGGUUUGGUUAUUUGGGGUUGGACCGGGUCAGGUUAUGGGUCGUGGGGUGUGGGCUUGGUGUAAGCACGUGAUUUUUUGCCCUACAUGAAGAUAACUCCUAAAAAUAAGUCAAAAUAAAUUUUAUUGAUCUUUUAGAAAUUUUUCUUUUGUAGUCUUAUUUCAUACAUUUUAAUAUUUUAAAAUCACAAUAAUAAAAUAUAAA